rnacentral:lncRNA from 1 species
GUUGGGAAGAGGUUAUUUAGUAUGCUAAUUUGAAGCAAAAUAGUUGGAUAUUAUUAAUGUAUUUAUUGCUACAUAUGUGAGUUCAAACAUAUUUUUAGUUGUUUUUUUUUUNUUGGGAUGUCAAGUAGUCAAAGAUAUAAGAGUUCACAUUUUUUUUAAAUGCCUCGAACAAGAAUUCAUUGAUAAAUUUCAUCACACGAUUUAAUAGAGCACUAAGACACCAAAGACGCAAUGGGUUAAUU